rnacentral:rRNA from 1 species
GAGUUUGAUCCUGGCUCAGGAUGAACGCUGGCGGUAUGCUUAACACAUGCAAGUCGAACGGUCUCUUCGGAGAUAGUGGCGGACGGGUGAGUAACGCGUGAGAAUCUGGCUCUAGGUCGGGGACAACAGUUGGAAACGACUGCUAAUACCGGAUGUGCCGAGAGGUGAAAGAUUAAUUGCCUAGAGAUGAGCUCGCGUCUGAUUAGCUAGUUGGUGUGGUAAGAGCGCACCAAGGCGACGAUCAGUAGCUGGUCUGAGAGGAUGAUCAGCCACACUGGGACUGAGACACGGCCCAGACUCCUACGGGAGGCAGCAGUGGGGAAUUUUCCGCAAUGGGCGAAAGCCUGACGGAGCAAUACCGCGUGAGGGAGGAAGGCUCUUGGGUUGUAAACCUCUUUUCUCAAGGAAUAAGAACUGAAGGUACUUGAGGAAUAAGCAUCGGCUAACUCCGUGCCAGCAGCCGCGGUAAUACGGAGGAUGCAAGCGUUAUCCGGAAUGAUUGGGCGUAAAGGGUCCGCAGGUGGCAAUGUAAGUCUGCUGUCGAAGAAUGAGGCUUAACCUCAUCAAGGCAGUGGAAACUACAUAGCUAGAGUACGGUCGGGGUAGAAGGAAUUCCUGGUGUAGCGGUGAAAUGCGCAGAGAUCAGGAAGAACACCGGUGGCGAAAGCGUUCUGCUAGACCUGUACUGACACUGAGGGACGAAAGCUAGGGGAGCGAAUGGGAUUAGAUACCCCAGUAGUCCUAGCCGUAAACGAUGGAUACUAGGCGUGGCUUGUAUC